rnacentral:rRNA from 1 species
GGAGGAAUAUUGGUCAAUGGACGCAAGUCUGAACCAGCCAUGUCGCGUGCAGGAAGACGGCCUUAUGGGUUGUAAACUGCUUUUCUAUAGGGAGAAACCCCCUUUCGUGAGAGGGGCUGACGGUACUAUAGGAAUAAACACCGGCUAACUCCGUGCCAGCAGCCGCGGUAAUACGGAGGGUGUAAGCGUUAUCCGGAAUCAUUGGGUUUAAAGGGUCCGUAGGCGGACUGAUAAGUCAGAGGUGAAAUCC